CCAGAAUCCAGAAGUCAUAAAGAACCCAGAAGACUUAAUUUAAAAAUUUUGAUUUUUGUAACUCAAAAGAUCCCAUUUUUUUAAAGGAAAAGAUAAGCAACCGCUGCAGAAAAACACACCUGUACCCACAGAACAAAGAUGAGCAACCAGGCUGCUGGACGGAAGCCAGGGUGACAACGGAGAGCAAGGGCAGUGCUGGGGCGGACAGCGAGCCCCCGGGAAGACGGAAGGACAUGGGAAAGAGGCUCGUGGGGGACCCGGCCAGAUGCAAGGACAACCUGUGGCCGACAGCAGCGCGGCACGCCGGCUGCAGACAUGGCACUAGCCCUGCCUUCUGCAUACCUA
rnacentral:lncRNA from 1 species